rnacentral:rRNA from 1 species
CACGUAGGGGGCAAGCGUUGUCCGGAUUUAUUGGGCGUAAAGAGCUCGUAGGCGGCUCGGUAAGUCGGGUGUGAAACCUCCAGGCUCAACCUGGAGACGCCACCUGAUACUGCUGUGGCUAGAGUCCGGUAGGGGAGUGUGGAACUCCUGGUGUAGCGGUGAAAUGCGCAGAUAUCAGGAAGAACACCAGCGGCGAAGGCGGCACUCUGGGGCCGGAACUGACGCUGAGGAGCGAAAGCGUGGGUAGCAAACAGG